AGGGCUCCAAGGGAGAGCCACCAACAGGAGGAAUCGGCAGGAAGUUAACAGGGUGCUCAGCAGCAAUAACAGUUUAGAGAGAGGCAAUUUUCAAAGACAACAAGUCAACAAUUAGAAAAAUUGUGGAAAUUUUAUGGAAAUGCUGAAGCAUGCCUUGAGAAUCCCCAGACAUCACCAGGGAGCAUUUGAGAAGAAUUUUAGAUAGAGGCUAUCAAGCCAAUCUACACACGAAUGACGCACCAAUAUCAAGAAAAGGGGGAGAAUAUAUUUGCCUCCAGGCUCUGACUCUUCCAAGAUAAGUUAUACUUCGCUUUUAUUAUUUAGGAAGACAAGAACAGAAGCAUAUGAGAAAGAGUGACAAAAGAAGCCACAGUCCAACAUGCAUGGAAGAUGAGAGCUACAAAGGUGUCAGUAUAUCUCUACAGGACUAGUGCCCCUCGAGGCUGAUUGUCGGAAAUCUGUUAUGGCACCUGCUACAAGAACACAGGAAAAAAAAGACUUCCUGAAUGAAUAAAUGAAUCAAAAAUCUUCUAUUUUCCUCUACAGCACUUCUGUCUUUCAGCUACUCACAGAGGUCCAGGAAUCAUCAUUAAUAAUCAUUAAUCAUCAUUAAUACAUAUAAGGCUGUAUAAAGUGUCCAAGGAAUCGUUAUCUUUUAAAAACUGGAAGCUGCUCUGCUCCAUCCAAUCUGAGGGGAAAUGAUCUGGUGAGAGGCAUGGGCGAUACUGAGAAAGAACU
rnacentral:lncRNA from 1 species